AAUUCCAGCUCCAAUAGCGUAUAUUAAAGUUGUUGCAGUUAAAAAGCUCGUAGUUGAAUUUCGGGAUUGACACAUCGGUCGUGCCUUAAGGGGUGUGAACUGGUGUAGUCAAUUUCUCACCUUCUGGAGAACCGCGAUGUCCUUAAUUGGGUGCCGCGAGGAACCAGGACCUUUACUUUGAAAAAAUUAGAGUGUUUAAAGCAGGCAUUUUUGCUUGAAUACAUUAGCAUGGAAUAAUAAAAUAGGACGGCAUGAUUCUAUUUUGUUGGUUUCUAGGAUCACCGUAAUGAUUAAUAGGGAUAGUUGGGGGCAUUAGUAUUCAAUUGUCAGAGGUGAAAUUCUUGGAUUUAUUGAAGACUAACUACUGCGAAAGCAUUUGCCAAGGAUGUUUUCAUUAAUCAAGAACGAAAGUUAGGGGAUCGAAGACGAUCAGAUACCGUCGUAGUCUUAACCAUAAACUAUGCCGACUAGGAAUCAGACGAUGUUAAUU
rnacentral:rRNA from 1 species